rnacentral:rRNA from 1 species
GACAGAGGUGCCAAGCGUUAGGCGGAAUCACUGGGCUUAAAGCGUGUGUAGGCGGGCGAGCAAGUACCUUGUGAAAUCCCACGGCUCAACCGUGGAACUGCUGGGUAUACUGGUUGUCUUGAGCCAGCUAGGGGCGAGCGGAACAGACGGUGGAGCGGUGAAAUGCGUAGAUAUCGUCUGGAACGCCGAAGGUGAAAACAGCUCGCUGGGGCUGCGCUGACGCUGAGACACGAAAGCCAGGGGAGCGAACGGG